ACACACAGUGAGGCAGUGUUAGGGGUAGGGAGUUUCAGGGUGUCUCUCCUCAGAGUGUGGUGGUCUCUUGCUCGUGCUGGAUGCUUUCAGUCUUCCCUCCUCAGGCAGGAGGAAGGCCGGCUGUGGAGUCAAUCUGUGAGAUAUACCGCAACCAUGAUCAUCAGACUAGGAAGACUGACUCCGGGAUACUUCCGUCUCCUGCAGCGGCAAGUCUCUGGUGAACUGCAGAUGCAGCCACAGACUCGCCCUGUCAACCACAUCGCUAUGACGAUGGCCACGCUGGGAUUAGGCAUGUCCUGCUACAGCGCCCGGCAGAUGGCUGAAAGGGUCCACCUGAAGGAGCCUGUGGCCUGAGACAGCGCCCCCCGAAGGCCACUAGAGGACACCUCACCAUGCCUACCAGACCAUAGGGCAUUUCCAGAACUCAGACCUGGUGCCAGAUUCUGUGAAAUAAAUACCCCAAACUGGCGUGGAUGAUUGCCCUACCUGGAAUUUCAUACAGGACCACUUUGUCUAACUCCUACUUUUUCAUUUUUUCAUCUUUUUAUAUCUUCGACUAGCCCAACUGAUGAGAAGGUGGUGUGUCAGUGUUCGUGUUUAAAACAUGUGACCUCAUUUAACAAUGUUUAAUGUUUAGGUAACACACACACCACUAGCACUUAAUGCUGACAUUUAAAAAGUAACAUUGUCACCAUAAACUAAACGAAAAAAAGGAGAAACUUGAUCAUUUACAUGACUAAUGUGAAGGAGUGUACCUGACAAUGAAUAUGAAGCUUGAUGGAUGACUUUCCGUGUUUUUUGUAUGUUUGAGUUGGAAUGUGUAUGUUGGGGAAUAAUGAAGCUGGUGCUAAGAUGUGUGUAAACAGAGAUGAGGUUCUUGAAAAGUGUUUUGAAGGAAAAGUGAAAGUCCUACUCCUGUGAAAGAUGUUUGUUCUGUCUGUUGCUUUAACAUGGAGAUGUCUCUAUGCAUGAGAUCAACUCUCUGAUGAUACUUGACAUAUAAACAUUCUGUCACCAGUUUUCUCACCACAUACAUAACAAUAACAAGCCAUAGUUUAUCACAUUAAAAUAAUAAUAUAAGACUUCUACAAUAGAUCUUCAAUACUUAAGUCCUCACACUGUCAUGAUAAGCAUUCACCACUUACAUAGUCAAAUUCAUAAGGAUAGCACGAGUAGACGGAAUGAAACUUAAUACUGUGCGCCGUACUGUUUUUAAACUGUGAAUAAAGUUUUCUUCAAAAUUGAA